GACGAACGCUGGCGGCGUGCCUAAUACAUGCAAGUCGAGCGAACAGACGAUGAUCUUUCCACUCUGACAAUUGAGGCGCAAGGGGGAGUAAAACGUGGAUAACACCCCUAUCAUACUGGGAUACAUUCGUGAAAAAGGAGCUAAUAUACGAGAAAAUAUUAUACCGUAUGGUUCAGUAGUGUAAGAGUGGUUUUUUCUCACAUUUAGAUAGAUCUGCGCGGCAUUAGCUAGUUGGUAAGGUAACGGCUUACCAAGGCAACGAUGCAUAGCCGACCUGAGAGGGUGAUCGGCCACACUGGAACUGAGACACGGUCCAGACUCCUACGGGAGGCAGCAGUAGGGAAUCUUCCGCAAUGGGCGAAAGCCUGACGGAGCAACGCCGCGUGAGUGAUGAAGGUCUUCGGAUCGUAAAACUCUGUUAUUAGGGAAGAACGAUUGUGUAAGUAACUAUGCACGUAUUGACGGUACCUAAUCAGAAAGCCACGGCUAACUACGUG
rnacentral:rRNA from 1 species